UGCCAGCAGCCGCGGUAAUACGGAGGGGGUUAGCGUUGUUCGGAAUUACCGGGCGUAAAGCGUACGUAGGCGGAUCAGAAAGUAUAGGGUGAAAUCCCGGGGCUCAACCCCGGAACUGCCUUGUAAACUCCUGGUCUUGAGUUCGAGAGAGGUGAGUGGAAUUCCGAGUGUAGAGGUGAAAUUCGUAGAUAUUCGGAGGAACACCAGUGGCGAAGGCGGCUCACUGGCUCGAUACUGACGCUGAGGUACGAAAGCUAGGGGAGCGAACGGGAUUAGAUA
rnacentral:rRNA from 1 species